AGACACAGAGGGAAGAGGCAUGGAGAUGGAGGAAGAGACUGGAGUGAUGGAGCAACAAGGAUUGCUGGCAAGCACUGGAAACUGGAAGAUGCAAGGAAGUUUCCUCCCCUAGUGCCUUCAGAGGGAGCAAAAGAGAACACUUUCACAAGAGGCCACCUCCGAAUCAUGAAUAUCUUCCCGCCAGGCAGAUUUGGAAGGCGAUUGACUCUCCAGUUUGGGUCAUGGAUGUGGAUCCUGCCUUGGGAAUCCCCGGAUUCAACUCCCUCAUCCCAACUCAAAAGGGCUGAUUCUGUUUCUAACCUGUCAGUCAAUUUGGUUCAUCAGAAUCGUCUCUCUGGCCAGCUGACCUGGGAGCCAACGAAGCCAUUGAAAACUCAUGUCUUUCACGGUUUGAUGUCACGGCCUCCGCGUGGACAUCUCUCUGCUUGGGUACAGGAAGCGGACAGCGUCUGUUCCUGUGUCCUCCUCAAUGGAAAUAAAUUCAGCCUCAGGCGGGCCGAAGCCCAGGAACAAAUUGAGUCCUCAGAAGACCGCAUUAUCUGCUUUGCAAACAGCCCAGGUAUGGAGCUUGCAUUCCUUCCCACCACAGGAGCCACAUUUGAGCAAUUCUCCCUGCCACGUUUCCCACGAUGCUUGAAUGGUCCUUAUUUAAGUAUUGAAUCAGCAGCGGGCUGGAUGCUUGACAGCAGCGGGCUGUGAAGGGUGGUCACCUUGAUGCCCUGCACCUGCUGGGUCAGAACGGCAUCACAGUCUGACGCUCUCCCACCCCUUCUGGCUCCCGCCCUGCUCCCUCACAGCUGAGCCUGCCAAUAAAUCUCUUAUGUGUCCAAUCCCAUCUUGAUGUCUGCUUCUUGGAGACCCCAAAUGAACACAGAACUCAGCACGUUUAAGUUCCUUCUCUUGGCUAAAUAUACACCAAAGACCAUGUUUGAGC
rnacentral:lncRNA from 1 species